rnacentral:lncRNA from 1 species
AAAGAGGGGAUUGCAUCUACCGGUUACUGGGUAGAAAACCACAAAAAUAGGACUUACAACUACCGGUUACUGGGUAGAAGGCCAAAACAUACGCUGGGAAGAGAAUGAACAAUUACUGUUUACUGAGUAAUUGAUCACCUGAACCACAGGGAACUGUAGGGGAAUAAUAAGAAAGGGGUCAAUCUAGGAACAAACUAGAGAGACACAAUGAAACAAGACUCAACCCAAUGAGGAUAUAACUCAGGGGAGUAAUUCCAUCCCAAUACAUAUUUAGG